ensembl:lncRNA
CAGCGCUUUCCUAACUUGUGAGUGCUUCUGAGACACAUAGAGAAAGUGAUAUCAGUCGAAACAUAAAGACACAGGGAGAGGCGUGGAGAGCAAGCAUUUAACAAGGCAAUAGUCAAUACAAGGAUGGUGUAUAUAACAGUUGGAAGCCAAUGAAGGUGGAAAGAACUGCAGGCUUCCUUGUUUGGUGAGCUGUAAGGAGAUUACUUACCACCGGCCACAACAUCUUAUCCUCUAAAUCCCUCUCUAACACCAGGCAGCCUGCAGCGAAUACAGAUUUUAUGCUCCUUGUUGCCACCCGAUCCAGGAACUUUUUCUAUCUAGGGUGCAGGAUAUAAUCAGCACAAUAUAAAACAAGAAGAAAAGUAUAGACCCUGCCAAACUUUAAUAAAAAAUAAAAAUACAUAAAUAUAUAACCAGGCUUUGGGGGGGCUUAAAAGAUUACAAAUCAAAACAAUGUACUUGAGCCAAAUCCAAAAUAAUGACAAGUAGCAAAAUAACUAUUAACUUAAGGCUCUUGCAAUACAGAACUGAAUGUAAAAUUAACAUGUUGCAAUGCUAAAGAUGAGGUAAACUGCAAGUGAUUUAUAAAGUUUUUAAGCAGUUUUUUUUUUUUUUUUUUUUAAGUUUCACUUACAGAGAAGAAACUCCUCACACCUACUUCACAUUAGAUGCUAUCUCACAUAGUUUUGACUCCCUUUGAGUGAGAGCAGGAUAAGAGAUUACACUCAGGCUGGCAGGUGACCAACUUGACCAUCUGAAGAUUUGCUUUGAUCAUAGCGGCAUGUUUUCUUUUUCUUAAACUACAUUAAUUAGUUCAGCCAACCCACAAGACUCACCGCUGCCGUCAGAGGCCUCUUUAGUUAAAAUUCUCCAUUAGCCACACACAAACGAAUGUGUGUAGAUCUAUAGCAGCUCUCUGUCAGCAGUAAACAGAUAUUUAUAGUAUAAAAACUAGCAGCAGUAUAUUUUCUUGGGACACAUUGGCCUCCUUAAUACCAACAGAGCAUUGUCUAAAUGCCACAGCGGUGCUGCUGACCAUGUCCGUUCCUUGUUUUCCUCUGCUGGUUGUUUCCAGCAAGAUAAAAACACCAAAGCUCAAAUAAUUUCAAACUGGUUUCUUUAACAUGACAGUUCACUGUACUCGAAUGGCCUCAACAGUCAUCAGAUCUCAAUCCAAUAGAGCACUGUAGGGAUGCAGUGUAACCAGAGAUUUGCAUCUUG